AGUCGCAUGGUGUAGUGGUUAUCACGUUUCGUUUACACUUCUGUGGAACCGAAAAGGCCGCAAGUUCAAUCCUUGCUGCGACUA